rnacentral:rRNA from 1 species
UACGUAGGGACCAAGCGUUGUUCGGAUUUACUGGGUGUAAAGGGUGCGCAGGCGGACUGGUGAGUCUGGGGUGAAAUCUCGCCGCUUAACGGCGAAACUGCCUUAGAUACUAUCAGUCUUGAAUCAGCGAGAGGUUCGUGGAAUUCCGAGUGUAGCAGUGAAAUGUGUAGAUAUUCGGAAGAACACCAGUGGCGAAGGCAGCGAACUGGCGCUCGAUUGACGCUCAGGCACGAAAGCAUGGGGAUCAAACAGG